rnacentral:rRNA from 1 species
CAAGCGGUGGAGCAUGUGGUUUAAUUCGUCGCAACGCGAAGAACCUUACCUACUCUUGACAUCUACAGAAGCACGCAGAGAUGCGUUGGUGCCUUCGGGAACUGUAAGACAGGUGCUGCAUAGCUGUCGUCAGCUCGUGUUGUGAAAUGUUGGGUUAAGUCCCGCAACGAGCGCAACCCUUAUCCUUAGUUGCCAGCGAUUCGGU